ensembl:ncRNA F40F11.5 ncRNA
GCAGCAGCGCCCACCAUGUCCACACCGCCGCUCCGUGUGUCUCUUUUAUAUGCACGUUCGUUUGGCCACGCCCAUGCAGUAUGAACUUGUGGACGCUCCGCCCACAGUCUCCCCCGUCCCUUGUCUCGCCGCCUCUCUUAGGCGGGGGCACAGCAGGAGGAACGAGGAGGAGAUGCAGACUGAAAAACGUUUUUGACAUUGCCCCAACGACGGUGUG